GGGAAUGUGGCUUAGUGGUAGAGUACUUGCCUAGCAUGCAUGAAGCAACAGGUUCAAUUCUUCAGUACCA
rnacentral:tRNA from 1 species